AUCCAGCUGACGAGUCCCAAACAGGACUAAACGCUCAUGCUGGAU
rnacentral:hammerhead_ribozyme from 1 species